rnacentral:lncRNA from 1 species
UUCUAACCAUCAGAUCGCAUAAAAGAUCUAUUCAAAGUCAGAAAUGUCCUCAGCCAUCCGAUCGCUUGAUGAAUCGCUUCUGGGCCAUUAGAUCAUGCAGAAGAGUCCUAUUCGAAGUUGACAAUGCAUCUGGUCCGUUGGAUUUGAUGAUGGAUGAGUUUUCGAUCAUUAGAUCAUGCAAAAACUCCUCUUAUAAAUCGAUAAUGAAUGCUGAC